rnacentral:rRNA from 1 species
UACGGGGGGGGCAAGCGUUGUUCGGAAUUACUGGGCGUAAAGGGCUCGUAGGCGGCCAACUAAGUCAGACGUGAAAUCCCUCGGCUUAACCGGGGAACUGCGUCUGAUACUGGAUGGCUUGAGUUUGGGAGAGGGAUGCGGAAUUCCAGGUGUAGCGGUGAAAUGCGUAGAUAUCUUGAGGAACACCGGUGGCGAAGGCGACAUCCUGGACCAACACUGACGCUGAGGAGCGAAAGCCAGGGGAGCAAACGGG